UACGUAGGGUGCAAGCGUCGUCCGGAAUUAUUGGGCGUAAAGAGCUCGUAGGCGGCUCGUCGCGUCUGCUGUGAAAGCCCGGGGCUUAACCCCGGGUCUGCAGUGGGUACGGGCGGGCUAGAGUGCGGUAGGGGAGACUGGAAUUCCUGGUGUAGCGGUGAAAUGCGCAGAUAUCAGGAGGAACACCGGUGGCGAAGGCGGGUCUCUGGGCCGUAACUGACGCUGAGGAGCGAAAGCAUGGGUAGCGAACAGG
rnacentral:rRNA from 1 species